AGCAACAAGAAAAGGAGGUAGUUGGGAAUAUUUGGAUAAUAAGAUUUAAGAUUGGUUUAGAUUUUUCUAUACCAUUUACUAGAUUUUUAUCUUUUUAUUUUGAGAUUUUUAAAGAAGUUAGAACGUAUUUUUAACUUUCUAAUAAGCCUUUGCAUACAAAAAAAGAAGUUGUGACAUAGAAGUUCUAAGCUAAUUUAUAGAUGGAAAUCUUGAAGACUUUGGCUAUGGCAAGCAGCCAACUUUUUCUUAGUUUGGCUCUUUUUUUUUAUUUAUUUAUUAAAUUUGAUAUUUUGAAGUUUGUAUCUUG
rnacentral:lncRNA from 1 species